rnacentral:lncRNA from 1 species
UGGCUCCGGUUGCCGAGCUGCUCCCGGGAGAUCCAUUUUCAGAGGAUCUGAGAAAAACCCGGCAGGGUUGAUGGCAGCUCUUUCUUCUCGGUGCCCUCGCAGUGCAGCAGGCCCCGCUUAUUUGCAAGAAGCAGCCAGGUCAGCCCACUGGGCCUCCCCACCUCUUGUGCCCCUUCGCACAUUUCAGAGCUCUCUCUUUUCCUCUGGGUCCUUCCAUUCAGGAGAGGAGGAGGAGGAGGGGGUGAGCCUGUUGCGAACGGCGUUGGUGGGGCAGGGGCCGGUUCCCCUGUUUCUGGGGAGCCUUUUCUGUGCUGGUUGCAGGCAGGAGCCCUCAGUGUGGAGCUGCGGUAAGCCUGUGCCCCGUUGUAUUUGGGUCACAGCCUCCGUGACCCCCAGCCCCCGCCAGGCACUCCACACCUGCAGUGAUUCGCUUGAUAUUUUAAAAGCACUCCAUCUUCUGCCUGCUGCCUUCUCUCCAUUCAUCUGGGUCCAGGUUUUCACCGAGCCAUCUAAUAAAGAAUCCAGGGGGGAGAAUGAUGGGGGCGAGGAGAGGGAAAGUGCUAACAUUUAUUAAGUGCCCGCUGGGUGCCCAGCACUUCCUCAACAACUAGAGCAGCGGUCUUUCUGCUUUCUUUCAGCUGCAUAACCCUUUCCUCCAUCCAAAAUCGCAAGCCUAACCUGGCCGUGUAAACAAACACCAGGGAAGCGCCUCUGAUGGAAGGGGAUGGGGCACCUAAGGCCCUGUCCCUCACCAUGUAGCAACCUCCCCACUCCUAACAGACACUUUGGUGCUUCCAUGAAACCUGGAUCUAAAAGCUCUGUGCUCACUAAAUCUACAUAUAACUCUCCAAGGAAAUAGUAUCCCCAUUUUUAUAAUACCAAGCUAAAGGCCAGAGAGGGAGAAUGUAGGAUCACACAAUUUUUUUUUUUUUUUUUUGAGAUGGCGUUUCACUGUCACCCAGGCUAUAGUGCAAUGGCGUGAUCUCAGCUCACUGCAACCUCCACCUCCCUGAUUCAAGUGAUUCUCCUGCCUCAGCCUUCUGAGUAGCUGGGAUUAUAGGCGCGCGCCACCACGCCCAGCUAAUUUUUGUAUUUUAAUAGAGAUGGGGUUUCACCAUAUUGGCCAGGCUGGUCUCCGAGCUCCUGACCUCAGGUGAUCCGCCUGCUUUGGCCUCUCAAAGUGCUGGGAUUAUAGGCGUGAGCCACCGCGUCCGGCCCAGGGACACGAUUAUUAAAGGGCAGAGAGCCAGACUGGGGAGGCAGGUGUGCUCCAUUCCCAAGCCCAUGCUUGCCCUGGCUCUGCGGGAAGACAGUAGGUGCUUUGCUUCCUGAGAAAGGGCAGGAAGAGGCGUGGCUCCUCCAGCUGUACGGACGACCAGGCCAGAUCCACAUGGCCCCCUUUGGUGCUUGGAUGUCUGGUAAACUGCCUGCCAAGGAGGAACGCAGAGGUGAGGCACCUGGUCCGACCCAUCAUUUCACGCUGAAUCGCCUGUUGACCCAUCUCACUUGAAUGACUCCUGGGAUGGAGGCCUGGCUCCCUCCAAGGCAGCCCCUUGCGUUGGAAGAAGGGCAAUGGUGUGAAGCCUGUCGGUUGUACCCUCCAGCUGCGGGUCCUUACUCCAGCUCUCAGAACCAGAAGGAAUCUGUCUAAUUGCUCAUCUACUGGAGAGCCCUUGAGAGGGGCUUCUUCAAGGUCCUGGGCACUCCAGAAUGUUCUCCUCCACUUAAAAAACACAAGGAUGGUCUCCAGGCACCUGAGGAAACACAGUCUCCUGCCCUUUAGGAUCAGCCACCUCUGAGGCCAAGACCUGACCCAGAUUCCGGUACCCUUCACAGAAGGAGCCACCACAGUGGAGAAGGAAGCUCAUGGCUUUUGGGCAAGGGCCUCUUUGAAAAGGAGGAAGAGCUAGCAAAGGGUGACGGCAGAGAGAUGCCCAGAAUCUUGCAGGAGGAGGGAGAAUGCAGCCUAACUUGCUGGAAGGAUUCAGGAGAUGUGUGAGUAAGAGCCAAGAUUUCCCAGAUCAGCCUACAGCCAAGAUAAGCACAGCUUUGUACCCAACCUGCACCUCACCACAGAGAAUGGAAGAAUCACUCAGCCAUCCUGUAUAUUGUAGCAAUAAUGUAUGGUUAUUUUUUCUAGGCACUGAGUUUUGGGAUGAUUUGUUAUGCAGCAACAGCUGGCUGCUACAGAGAUUGUGCCCACCCUCACAGCCCCCUGGAUCUGUGUGCUCUCACUGAAAAGCAAAAGUAACUUCUGUUUUUCUCUUCUCUGUGGCCACCAGGGCUGCUGCCCAAACAGAAAGGCAAUUUGCUUAGUGGUGGAGGUUGUGACCUCCAGAGUCAGACAGUCCUGGAAUCCUAUCCCAGCUGUGUGACCUGCAGUUGGCUUCUUAACCACUCUGUGCCUCAGUGUCUCCAUCUACAAAAGGCACAGUUUCUACCCCAUCAGGUUGUGGUAAGGACUAGAAAAGACAUUGGAAGUAAAGUGCAUGACACCAAAGUUCUCC